UUAAAGGCUUUUCUUUUAAAGCCACUAUGCUUUUACAAAAACAAUAAUU
rfam:Stomoxys calcitrans breed 8C7A2A5H3J4 unplaced genomic scaffold Scaffold330, whole genome shotgun sequence.